UACGAAGGGGGCUAGCGUUGCUCGGAAUCACUGGGCGUAAAGGGUGCGUAGGCGGGUUUUUAAGUCAGAGGUGAAAUCCUGGAGCUCAACUCCAGAACUGCCUUUGAUACUGAAAGUCUUGAGUAUGGGAGAGGUGAGGGGAACUGCGAGUGUAGAGGUGAAAUUCGUAGAUAUUCGCAAGAACACCAGUGGCGAAGGCGGCUCGCUGGCCCAUAACUGACGCUGAGGCACGAAAGCGUGGGGGAGCAAACAGG
rnacentral:rRNA from 1 species